GUCUACGGCCAUGUCACACUGAACACGCUCGAUCUUGUCUGAUCUUGAAAGCUAAGCAGGGUUGGGCCUGGUUAGUACUUGGAUGGGAGACCACCUAGGAAGACUGGGUGUUGUAGGCA
rnacentral:rRNA from 1 species